rnacentral:misc_RNA from 1 species
GAUGAAGAACGCAGCGAAAUGCGAUAAGUAAUGUGAAUUGCAGAAUUCAGUGAAUCAUCGAAUCUUUGAACGCACAUUGCGCCCCCUGGUAUUCCGGGGGGCAUGCCUGUCCGAGCGUCAUUGCUGCCCUCAAGCACGGCUUGUGUGUUGGGCCUCCGUCCUCCUCCCGGGGGACGGGCCCGAAAGGCAACGGCGGCACCGCGUCCGGUCCUCGAGCGUAUGGGGCUUCGUCACCCGCUCUUGUAGGCCCGGCCGGCGCUUGCCGACACAUCAAUCUUUUUUCCAGGUUGACCUCGGAUCAGGUAGGGAUACCCGCUGAACUUAAGCAUAUCAAUAAGCGGAGGA